CUUUGCCUUCGACGACUUUUCUGAUUCCAACCGAAAGUAUUGUUUCUCUUUCAUAUCUCUUUCUCGGUGCCGUAUGUUCGUGUUUCUGUGGUGAUCUAUGAAACGACUGGGAAGUUAUCACUGGAAGGAUGAUUGAAGAUAUAUCUAUUGAUAACUACAGCAGAUUUUGGCAUCCAGGUUUGGAUAACCAAGACCAUCUAUCGGAUAGACAGAUCCCGUCCCCCGUUUUAAUCAUGAAGUAGAAACAUCGUGCAUAUCACAACUCAGUAAAGGAUUUGUAGAAGCUUUGUUUUGUAUCCGGUUGCGAGUGUUAAUGUCAGGAGUUCGUCUCGAUGAUCUUUAUUCUGGCCAAGCAUAGAAAGCAAGCCAGUAGGGAGCAGAGCUGUCGACAUACUGUGGGUUGAUACCUCGUGAUCUUCCACCUUUAGCAAGGCUGUCUGCA